rnacentral:rRNA from 1 species
CCUACGGGUGGCAGCAGUGAGGAAUAUUGGUCAAUGGACGCAAGCCUGAACCAGCCAAGCCGCGUGCAGGAAGACGGUACUACGUGUUGUAAACCUCUUUUGUCAGGGAGCAAAGGCGGGUACUAGUAUCCGUCUGAAGGUACCUUAAGAAAAAGCAUCGGCUAACUCCGUGCCAGCAGCCGCGGUAAUACGGAGGAUUCAAGCGUUAUCCGGAUUUAUUGGGUUUAAAGGGUGCGUAGGCGGGCGGAUAAGUUAGCGGUGAAAACCCGGGGCUCAACUCCGGAAUUGCCUCUGAUACUGUUCGGCUAGAGAGUAGUGGCGGUAGGCGGAAUGUGUGGUGUAGCGGUGAAAUGCUUAGAUAUCGUACAGAACACCGAUUGCGAAGGCAGCUUACCAGGUCACUACUGACGUUGAGGCACGAAAGCAUGGGGAGCAAACAGGAUUAGAUACCCCGGUAGUC